rnacentral:misc_RNA from 1 species
GUGUUGCUUACCCGCGGAAAGGAAUUCGAUGGUUUUGGUGCCCCCAUCCGCCCUGCSCCCUUCGGGGUGCGUGGUGGACGCGAGGCGUGCUCCGUGUUCCCCGCGUGUCGAGUGCGUUGACGCUCGGCCGCUGUGGCGCAUGGGGUCUCGGCCCGUGCUCUCGGAUGCGGAAUGUUGUGUGUGGGCGUGGGGUCUCGGCCUCGGCUCGUCCAAGCUAUACACGCAUUGUCCCCUGACACGAACGACCGCCGUGCCCGUCUUGAUCGGCCGACCGAGCCCCCGUCGCGGGGCUCCGGGAGGGCGGCUCAUGCGGGCGUCGG